UCCCGGGUCGUCUAGCGGUAGGACGCUGGGUUUUGGUCCCAGAAAUCCUUGGUUCGAAUCCAAGCCCGGGAG
rnacentral:tRNA from 1 species